UCCUUGGUGGCUUAGAUGGUAAAGCAUCUGCCUACAAGGCAGGAGACCUGGGUUCAAUCCCUGGGUUGGGAA
rnacentral:tRNA from 1 species